rnacentral:rRNA from 1 species
AAGUCUCCUGGAAUGGAGGCGUCAUAGAGGGUGAGAAUCCCGUCUUCGACACGGAUCCCCGGGGCUUUGUGGUGCGCUCUCAAAGAGUCGAGUUGUUUGGGAAUGCAGCUCAAAAUGGGUGGUAAAUUCCAUCUAAAGCUAAAUAUUGGCGAGAGACCGAUAGCGAACAAGUACCGUGAGGGAAAGAUGAAAAGAACUUUGGAAAGAGAGUUAAACAGUACGUGAAAUUGCUGAAAGGGAAACGCUUGAAGUCAGUCACGUCGUCUGGAAAUCAACCUUGCUUUCUGCUGGGUGUACUUUCCAGUUGACGGGCCAGCAUCAGUUUUGACCGGUGGAAAAAGUUCAAGGGAAUGUGGCACCUUCGGGUGUGUUAUAGCCUUUGGUCGCAUACAUCGGUUGGGACUGAGGAACUCAGCACGCCGCAAGGCCGGUCUUCGGACACGUUCGUGCUUAGGAUGCUGGCAUAAUGGCUUUAAUCGACCCGUCUUGAAACACGGACCAAGGAGUCUAACAUGCCUGCGAGUAUUUGGGUGGAAAACCCGAGUGCGCAAUGAAAGUGAAAGUUGAGAUCCUUGUCAUGGGGAGCAUCGACGCCCGGGACCAGACGUUCUCUGACGGUUCCGCGGUAGAGCAUGUAUGUUGGG